rnacentral:rRNA from 1 species
GACGAACGCUGGCGGCGUGCUUAACACAUGCCAGUCGAACGGAAAGGCCCUGCUUUUGUGGGGUGCUCGAGUGGCGAACGGGUGAGUAACACGUGAGUAACCUGCCCUUGACUUUGGGAUAACUUCAGGAAACUGGGGCUAAUACCGGAUAGGAGCUCCUGCUGCAUGGUGGGGGUUGGAAAGUUUCGGCGGUUGGGGAUGGACUCGCGGCUUAUCAGCUUGUUGGUGGGGUAGUGGCUUACCAAGGCUUUGACGGGUAGCCGGCCUGAGAGGGUGACCGGCCAAAUUGGGACUGGGAUACGGCCCAGACUCCUACGGGAGGCAGCAGUGGGGAAUAUUGCACAAUGGGCGGAAGCCUGAUGCAGCAACGCCGCGUGCGGGAUGACGGCCUUCGGGUUGUAAACCGCUUUCGCCUGUGACGAAGCGUGAGUGACGGUAAUGGGUAAAGAAGCACCGGCUAACUACGUG